GAUAAACAGCAUAUUUUUAGUGUUUAGUGUGAACUAUGCAGCUUCAACCCAACAACCAAAUCAGCUGAAAGAGAAGCUAUUAAACACUGAAACGAGGGACAAAUGCGGGCAUAACCCAACAUUAUGCACCACCUGUGUACUGUUAAUGGGCUUGUGAGGACAUGCCUUUGCGUUGGCAGCACUGAGGGGCUUUUAAGGGAUUUCGCUCUCCACAAACACAAGUCAGACGCUGGUGACAGUGCACAUCGCCGGACGUUGGUGACAGUGCACAUCGCCGGACGCUGGUGACAGUGCACAUCGCCGGACGUUGGUGACAGUGCACAUCGCCGGACGCUGGUGACAGUGCACAUCGCCUGACGCUGGUGACAGUGCACAUCGCCGGACGCUGGUGACAGUGCACAUCGCCGGACGCUGGUGACAGUGCACAUCGCCGGACGCUGGUGACAGUGCACAUCGCCAAGCUGCCUCUGAAGGGCCUUUAAAGGAGCCUCUCAUUCCAGCGUAAUCGCCAGCUCUAUUUUGAGAGAUUCACCUCAUGCUGAAAUGAAAUCUUUCAUAAAGCUGGUGGUUCUGUAGGCAGGUCACCUCGGUGAGGGUAGGCGGUCAGGGCUGGGGGGCUGGUUCUGGAGUCGCCCCAGGUGAAUGGGGUUCCCAUUGCCUGGCGUGACCCCUUUCCCCCUUUGUCUGGGCAGGGCGCCACCCUGGCGGCCCUCUACGCUCUGAACGCCCGGCUUCGGCGUCGGGUCCUCGGGGGGCCCACGGCCAGUGACCCUCUCCGGCUCCCAGGGUGCCACAUCAUGCUGAUCUCGUUUUUCUUCCAGACAAAGACCUCAUCAGCUCCCGAGUUUUAAACCCCGUUUGAUCUGUCCUACCCAUGUGCUUCUCUUCCUCUCAGCCUCUCACAUCCAGAAGCCCCCACUGCUGAGCCCAGCAGCCUCUCCUCCCUCUCCACAACCCCCCAGAUGCACAGCUCAUCGGCGCGUCUUCAUUAACCUUUAUUGCUCACACGCAUCACCCGUCAUACCCGGCAGAUUAACCAACCAGUUUACAUUCUCAGAUUACAUGAGCGGACGCCAUGACAGCUGUAAGUAAGACAGCACUGACUAAUAUGUGCGAUUAGUCUGCUGUGGUGAUGAAACUGGUGCAGAUUUAUAAAAAGGAUGCGGACAGGUGACCCAGACGAUCUUUAAUUUAACACCAUAUAAAAAGACAGAAAUUUCCUUAAUACAAUGUCUGGCUGUUGCCUGAAAUCAUGUAUAAAUUGAUGUGUGAAGUUAUUUAGAAAACAACUGUUUGUUUUACAUCCAGCAGAGCUGGACUUGGGAUAAAAACUGGCCCUAGACUUUGGGGUCCCCCACGACCCCAUGCUCAUACAUUCUGCUGACCCACAUUCCUAUCAAUUCAGCAGAAAAACACCCAGAAUAUCACACAGCCAAUGUAGCCCUGACCUCCAGUGACAGGACCGAAAUUGCGAUGCGCAACCCGAAACUCAUCGCUUAUGAGAAGAAUCUUAAUAAAACAUGCAGGACUCAUAUUAAAUAUUAUCAGUCCUCACAGAGUCACUCCCCGUCUUGUGCAGAUAGUGAUUUUUGAUUGUUUCUAAAUAAAUAACCAAAGAAAUGA